UGCUUUUCUGAGAGGAGAGUCAAACUUCCAUCUCCAGCUCCCAAAGGAGCUUUCUCCAGGGUACUGCAAAGAGGCUUUUUCCCCUUCAGUUUAGCAGUAUCAGGUAAGGGACUCUGAUGGGAAAUCAGGCUUUCCUAUCUGAAUGGGAAAGGAGGCGUGGAAAACAAGUAUUUUACUCACUCUUCCCUGGGCUUUUGGAACACUCGCUGGGCCAGUGAUGUGCUUGAUGCAGUAAAGACUGCAAAAAACUACAAAACGUUCCCUGAUUUCAAAGAACUUCCAGCCUAACCAGGAGACAAAAAUGGCAGUGAGAGAGCAGUUAACGACACUCUAAGAACUGUGGGGGCGGGUACUAGGGCUGUUUGUUCACAGGUAGUAUAUCACAUUGUCUAGCACAUUGCAGCGCAAUGCUAGGAGCUCAAUAAAUGAUGGCUGGCUGGCUAGAUAGAUAGAUAGAUAGAUAGAUAGAUAGAUAGAUAGAUAGAUAAAAAGGAAAACAGCAUGAUUCUGUCACAGAGAUGAAAGUAGAAAAGAUUAGCGUGGGCUGACGUAGUUAGAGAAGUGACUUCAGGACUAUUACAAAUAGGCUAGAGUAGAUGAAGAGUAAAGAAGAUGAAUGGGAGAACAUUAACCCUUUGAAAGUAAGGGCCUUGUCAGAUUCCUCUUAUGACCUCCCGUGCCUAAUUGCUGCUCAAUAAUUUCUCCCUCCUUCUCCAUGGUGUAUGUUGCUUGCUGAAUGAAUUCACAGCAAUCUUUCAGGAAGCUCUGAGUUUGAGGCCUUCUGCAUUUGUGGAGGCCUGGCAUAAUUACAUAGAAUGUGAUUAGAAAGUGUCAGGGAGAGGUGCCUGGGUGGCUCAGUCAGUCAACUGACUCUUGAUUUCAGCUCAGAUCAUGAUCUCAAGGUUGGUGGGUUCAAGCCCAGCUUCCAGCUCCUCGCUGACAAUGCGGAGCCUGUGUGGGAGUCUUUUUCCCUCCCUCUCUCUGCCCCUCCCUGACUUGUACUCUCUGUCUCUCUCAAAAUAAACAAACUAAAAAAAAAAGUGUCAGGGAAAACGAGAUUCUUUCAGUCUGAGUGAGAAAGCUGGGGAGGCUUCAGAGAGAAGGUCACACUGGAGUUGAGACUUGAAGAAUGAGUAGGAUUUAAGCAGAGAAAUGUAUGCAUGGUGGGGAGCAGGAGGAAUGAAGAGGGAAGGGGGUCCCCAGAGAGGAAGAUGGGAAGUAUGGGGGCUAUUUGGAGAACGUGAAUAAUCCUGUGAGUAGAAACUGGAAGGAGGAUGUGGUGAGGCAGGCUGUGAAGGGGGUUGCAGGUGAUGCAUACAAGUUUGGAUUUGAUCCUGCUUUGCAAAGUCUUAUCUGCAGGCCACUAGUGCAAGACUACUUUAUAGUCAUGUUUAAAAGUCAGAGUCCUAGGCUCACCCCAACCUGCAGAAUCACUGUAGGUCCAGAAAAUUUGCUUUUUUAAUGAGCUCCAUUUCUACACUCCUGGAGGAGAAUGCCACUGUGGACAAUUGGGACCCACAUUGUAUUCCGCAGUACACAGGGAAGUGACUGGUUAUGAUCUGCGUUUUAGAAAGAGAGCUCUGAAGGCCUGCCCUGAGAAUAACUGUUCUGGCUGAAACAGAGACAUUGAAGCAAGUGAAAUGUUCCUAAUCUGUGGGAGGAGGGGAAUCUGUGGAUUAAAAAUAAAUUACCGAUUUACUAACCACUUAUUGAAAAGUAUGCGGUUGGUAACAAACCACAGCAGUAUUGGCAUGACAUGUGACUUUGUCACCAAAAGAAAUUACGGCUCUUUUCAUAUUGUAUUAUGGAUGUUACAGAUGUAUUACUUAUGCUCAUCCCUUCUUCAAAGUCAAGGUAGUAAUGAGAACUACUGCUAGAUCUUAUUAUUUAAUGUGUUAAUGAAGAAGCACAUGAGUUAUUAUAUCAUAAUUUUAAAAAUAGUUUGAUAACUGUCUCCCUUGUAAUCUCAUGUUUUUGUUUGAAGCAUAGGCAUCCCCAAGCUGCCAAAGGGGUUGAUGGCACAAAGUAGUUAGGAACUACUGGUAUGAGAGGACACGUGGAAGGCCUGAACCAGAGGAGGCCGUGGCAAGGAAGGCAUGGAAUUCAGGAGAAAUUUUAAAGGCAGAAGUGAUGGGAGAGCGUCUACUUAAAUAAGUAAAUAUCCAGACUUGGAAAGAGGUAGAAGUAAGCUGGAAGGACAGAACAAGAGUAGUAGACCAAUGGGAAACACUGUAGGAACAGUUAUGUCUGGAGGGUGGAAGUUGUGAACUUGUCAGAAGAUGGUGAUGAGCCUAGGAGAACCUUAAAGGUAAGUCAGGGUCUUGGUGGAGACUGACCAAGAAGCAGCAGUUCUUGGAGACAUUUACCAGCCUCCCAAGAUGUUAGUCUUGGAUCUCAUUCUAAAUCCCUUUAAAAGGGGGGGCAAGGGGAGGCAUAUGAUGAGCUUACAAAUAGUUUGGGAAGAGAAAAGAGGACGAUGACCACCCAGAUGAUAAGGUCAGCUAAUUGCUAAUUGAAGUACACCUGGGGAAGUAAUACUUUCUAAGGUGUGAGAAGGUGCCAGUGCUACAGGUCUUCUCAGAAUUAAAGAUCUCACAGCUGGGAGCAAGCCACACAUACAUACAGGUGACAAAAGAGAACGUGUAAACAGGUGUAUGUGUCUCAGCAGAACAGAAAGAAGAAAGGAAGCUUAAUAACUGUUCAAAUCGCUGCGUUAUAUCAUUUGUAAUUUGCCACUUAUCUCUUCAUCUGCAGUAGUUAUCUUCCUGAAUAGAAGCAUCAUAAAAAGAUACAGUCAUGAACAAGUCUUGAAAGUUAGUUGGAACCAUGUCCUAGACCGCUCCAAAUGCAAGGCUCCUCCGAGUCAGUAAAGCACCAUCACAGGUUUUCAGCUAUUACCCAGGGGACUUACCCAGUACUUGCUUGCCACUCCCUAAUGCCUUUGCUGUUAACCUGGAAGGUAGGAAAUGUGUCCUUGGGGCACUUGGCUGGCUGCCUCAGUCUCUAGAGCAUGCGACUCUUGAUCUUGGGGUUGUGAGUUCGAUCCCCAUGUUGGGUGUGGAGAUUACUUAAAAGUGAAAUCUUAAAAAAAAAAAAAGAAGGAAAAGAAGCAAAAUGAUAUUCUGGAAUGGGUGGAUUAAUUUACAAAGCAUAUAAGCAGUUUUAAUAUCAAAAAUAUUUAAAUGGAACGAUUAAAUAUUUAUAAGUAUUAUAGUUUACAAGUUCUGUUUUGAAAUUCUGUCAGCUAUAGUGGCUUUGAAACCAAAUGUGAUACAGGCUACUGGAGUAGGUGAAUCUUUUAUUUUAGGAAUAGAUGAAGGAUCUCUUCUGCAUCUCUCAACAAGAAUUAAAUGUGGUGAGCAUUUCAGAGUCACCUUAACAAAGUAAUAUCUGUAUUGAAAAAUUCUUAUGACCUUUUAGUAGUCAAUUUAAUGUGAAAAGCUGGAAAAUAUAAUACAGCAUAUUCACUCCAUGAAAUAUGCAAUUUUAUGAAAAAGUUCUUAGUAAGACCUGCUGUAAUUUUAAAGUAACAUCUUUUUUUGGGGGGGGGGGGCGCCUGCGUGGCUCAGUUGGUUAAACGCUGGCUUCAGCUCAGGUCAUGAUCUCAUGGUUUACGAGUUCAAGCCCUAAGUUGGGCUCUGUGCUGACAGCUCAGAGCCUGGAGCCUGCUUCAGAUUCUGUGUUUCCCUCUCUCUCUGCCUCUCCCCCGCUCCUGCUGUCUCUCUCACUCUCAAAAAUAAAUAAACAUUAAAAAAAUAAAGUAACAUCUUUUUUUAAUUUGCCAGAUAUUCUUUUAGUGAGAACUAGAAAAGACCACAUUUUUUGCAAACUGCCUCUUUUUAAACAAAUGAUUUGCUUUUGAUUACAAAUACUGUGUAAGAUAAUGCCUUCUUUUGCAAAACCAAUAAAUACAGGAAAAAAUUUUAAGCAUGUGAUUUGCCCAAGAUAUUUGGAAGGGAAAAAAAGCCCAAUUUUUUUUCCAGUAUGAAAAAAAAAAUCAGUAUACCCUAACCUUUCAAGGAAUAAGUUCAAAGAUAUGACUCGACUGGAGACAAAGAAAGAGAGAGAGAAGAGACAGAGACCAUCUUAUAACUGCUUUAAAUACCUUCUGAUAAUUAUUCUGAUGUUACCUUUCCUUUCUGGAAUUUGUAUCUUCAAAAAAGAGUUGAAUUUAAAAUAUUUCUAAUGAGGGGCGCCUGGGUGGCUCGGUCGGUUAGGCGUUCAACUUCAGCUCAGGUCAUGGUCUCACAGUCCAUGAGUUCGAGCCCCGCGUCGGGCUCUGUGCUGACCACUCAAAGCCUGGAGCCUGUUUCAGAUUCUGUGUCUCCCUCUCUCUCUGGCCCUCCCCUGUUCAUGCUCUGUCUCUCUCUGUCUCAAAAAAUAAGUAAACGUUAAAAAAAAUUAAAAAAAUUAAAUAAAUAUUUCUAAUGAACUGAUUAAUGGGGGAAAAGAAAAUGCAUACUGAACACAUAUGUAGAAACUUUACCAUAAGCAAUUAUGCAUAUCAAAGACACUAACUUUAAAAAGAUACAAAAAAGGUGAGAAAAACCUGAAUUACAGAAAUCAAAUAUAAUGAAAAACUAGAAUAAAAAUUAGCAAAUACACACACAAAAUAUAUACACAUACAGCAGCACUAUGUGUUGACUCACAAAGGGAAAAGCAGUGGUCCAAGAGCACUCAACAGGGCUUGUCAGAUAAAGAAACACACACAAGCUCAGGUGCCCACACACAAAACAAAAACCCGGUACAACAGUACACUCAAUCUAUAACACAAAUUCAGAAUUAUUUUACAGUGCUUCCUUUCUUAAUCCAAAGGCACCCAUCUUGAGUGUGUAUGUAUGUGUGUGUGUGUGUGUGUGUGUAUAUAUAUAUGUAUAUAUAUGUAUAUACACACACACACACACAUACUUUUUCAGUGGUUUACUGUAGACUUAUUUUUAAUUAGUGUUAUUACAUGCAACUGUUUCCUGUAUUUAACAGCCUUUUUAUUUACCUUCACGUGUCUAGCUUCCACCUAUCAAAAGUUUCAGGUGCCUUAUUCUCUGUGAAACUGAAUGCAGUGGUUUUAAACACUGGCCAGAACAUGUUUGGUUGCCACUUCAACACAUGGAAAUAGUUACAUUGAUGUCGAAGUUGCCAUUUUCUGCAGAAAGCUGUGCAAUGCUGGUGUCAAAAGACUAGGCAGUCGCUAUUCAUAAUGGCUGUUGCAAUUCCCUCAGGAAUAGAUCGCCGGGCCGCUUCCCAAGUCAAUCGCCGCCUAGGACCGUUUAGCUCAAGUCGAUAAGCAAAAAUUUCAGCAUACUUGCGUGUUCCUAUCAGCUAUACAAGUGCAAAGAACCGCUGGUGGCCGUUGGACUUUUCCUUUUUCUCCAGUACUAACAUGAAGUGAAAGCCAAAACAGGACUGCAUCAUCAUCCCGUCAACAGCACCAGUGUAGCAAGGAAAACUAUAUUCUUUCCCUGUAGGGCUGUAAUGGACUUUGCCGAUGCAUCACAUAGGGGCUUGACAGCAUCCAAAGAGCCUUGCCAUUUGCAGGAAGCACCAGGGCACGGACACAAACAAGGCCUAAACUCACGGAGCUCUUCAUGGUCUGCUUUCUGUGUGUGUGGCAGAGGUAUCACUCCUCCAGGAGAGGCAUAUUUACGGCGGGAAAGCACGGGAACUGGCCACUUCCUCCAGGGCCAAGUUGCGAGGGGAUCCCAACGGCCCCGGCAGGUUGGACAACAUGUGAGCUUUUGGGCAACAGUUGCUACAAACGAGAUGGCCACUCUGACAGUGAAGAAUGGGUGGUAGCGCGUAGCCACAGCAGACAGGACACUCAAAAAGACCCGCCCGGUCAUUCUUGGGUGCAGUUGUGCCAGUCAGGGCAGGCACCCUCUGGGACGCUGCACACUUGGAGGUUCCAGCAGGGAAUGCUGGUGCAGCCUGGCGGCUCAUUUCCGUGGGCGGAGAACCUCGGCCCGGUCCCGGCUCAAACGCGC
rnacentral:lncRNA from 1 species